CUGCAGCUCAAGUGGUCAGGAUGAUUAUUGGGCCUAAAGCAUCCGUAGCCGGCUCUGUAAGUUUUCGGUUAAAUCUGUAUGCUCAACAUACAGGCUGCCGGGAAUACUGCAGAGCUAGGGAGUGGGAGAGGUAGACGGUACUUGGUAGGAAGGGGUAAAAUCCUAUGAUCUAUUGAUGACCACCUGUGGCGAAGGCGGUCUACCAGAACACGUCCGACGGUGAGGGAUGAAAGCUGGGGGAGCAAACCGGAUUAGAUACCCGCGUAGUCC
rnacentral:rRNA from 1 species